GGGCCCGUAGCUCAGCUUGGCUGGAGCGCUCGGCUGAUAACCAGCUGGGCAGCCACCGGGAGGUCCGGGGUUCGAAUCCCCGCGGGCCCA
rnacentral:tRNA from 1 species